UACAGAGGGUGCAAGCGUUGUUCGGAAUUAUUGGGCGUAAAGCGCGUGUAGGCGGCUUUGCAAGUCGGGUGUGAAAGCCCUCGGCUCAACCGAGGAAGUGCGCCCGAAACUGCAGAGCUUGAGUACCGGAGAGGAUGGUGGAAUUCCCCAAGUAGAGGUGAAAUUCGUAGAUAUGGGGAGGAACACCGGUGGCGAAGGCG
rnacentral:rRNA from 1 species